GCUUACGGCCAUACCACCCUGAACACGCCCGAUCUCGUCCGAUCUCGAAAGCUAAGCAGGGUCGGGCCUGGUUAGUACUUGGAUGGGAGACCGCCUGGGAAUACCAGGUGCUGUAAGUU
rnacentral:rRNA from 1 species